GACGUAGGGCGCGAGCGUUGUCCGGAAUUAUUGGGCGUAAAGAGCUCGUAGGCGGUUUGUCGCGUCUGCUGUGAAAACUCGGGGCUUAACUCCGGGCCUGCAGUGGGUACGGGCAGACUAGAGUGCGGUAGGGGAGACUGGAAUUCCUGGUGUAGCGGUGAAAUGCGCAGAUAUCAGGAGGAACACCAGUGGCGAAGGCGGCACUCUGGGCCGGUACUGACGCUGAGGAGCGAAAGCGUGGGGAGCGAACAGG
rnacentral:rRNA from 1 species